CUACGGGCUGCAGCAGUGGGGAAUAUCGGACAAUGGGGGAAACCCUGAUCCAGCAAUGCCGCGUGUGUGAAGAAGGCCUGCGGGUUGUAAAGCACUUUCGGUUGGGAGGACUGCUUCUAGCACUAAUAUUGUUGGAAGUUGACGUUACCUUCAGAAGAAGCACCGGCUAACUCCGUGCCAGCGAGCCGCGGUAAUACGGAGGGUGCAAGCGUUAAUCGGAAUUACUGGGCGUAAAGCGCGCGUAGGCGGCUAGAUCAGUCGGGUGUGAAAGCCCCGGGCUUAACCUGGGAACUGCAUCCGAUACUGUCUAGCUUGAGUACAGGAGAGGAGAGUGGAAUUCCACAUGUAGCGGUGAGAUGCGUAGAUAUGUGGAGGAACACCAAUGGCGAAGGCAGCUCUCUGGCCUGAUACUGACGCUGAGGUGCGAAAGCGUGGGGGGCAAACAGGAUUAGAUACCCGAGUAGUC
rnacentral:rRNA from 1 species